AGCCUGGAGGGCUACAGUCUAUGAGGUCACAAAGAGACAGACAUGACUGACACACACAAGAAUCCAGAGAGAUACAGCCUCUGGUCCAGGGUGCUGGCCAUCAGACCCUGGACCUGGGAUCUUCCCGCUGCAUCUCAGGCACUGGAGGACCUCUCCCGUGCCCCAGCACGCCAUCCCUGAUCCUGCGGUCCCAGGUUCCCAGAGAUGGUGGAUCCCUAGAGGCCAGCUCAUUCCAUUAAAGCCAACUUCCUGCAAAUCAGAAAUAAGGAGGAGAUUCAUCCAUUACUUUCCAAUUCCCAUGCUUGUAGGUCUUUCAAGAUUUAUUUCCACUGUAACAGCAGGCAUCCCGCACACUGCUUCAACCGGAUAUGAAAAGUGAGUUUCACUCCCCUGGCAACAAACCAAAAGAGAUGCUGGGCUCCCCAAUGCUUGUGUCCAUAACCCGGACUCAGUACAUCCAGACAAGAAGCAGACAUCCCAGAGUGCCUGCACAGAGCCUGCACCCUCCAGACCCUGGGCUCCUCACAACCGAAGCUCAGCACCCACAUCUAAACACUCCAAACAAAGCAGGUUCAAAGACACGCACGGAACCACUGGCAGAAUCUUCACAUGGGAUUUUGAACUCUUAGCAUCCCACCUACAGAGGUGUUGAGAAAGUAGAGUAAGUUUUCCAGGAAAGGCAAUUAUACUUGGACAGGUAAAAACCCACAUACUCUGA